UUUUGUCAAUUUUUUAAUUUAUUAUCAGAAACGUAUUUUCAGAGUUUUACACCCGCUCAAUCAUCCUUCGCUCGCAAUUUGACUAUCCACUGUCUGUCUCACACACUACUAUUUCGCGCCUUCUCACGUACUGCCGUAUUCGUCGUCUUGCUAGAGAUGUUUUUCUUCUUUCGUUUGUAUGCUAUGUAUGCCGUGUUGUGUGCCUUUGUUUGUAUGUGUUCCUGCCUUUUCAUUCGUUUUCACUCUCUUUUUCAUUUCAACCCAUUAUCUGUGUCUUUAUGUGUUUCAAUUGGUUGUGAAUUGAUAGAAUUACAAAACGUACUGAUUUGCAAAACUAAACUUGCACCAUUGCGGUAACGGGUGUGUCCUGUCGUGUGUCGUGUGGUGGUUUGUUAUAAUGUUUUUUUUAAUCCAUUUUCGACAUUGCAAUUACUAUUGGUUCUUGUUCGUACACACUGCUGUUUCUGUAUUGCCAUUCUACCUGCACACCAGGGUCUUAAUUCCCUGUCUACACUGUAGCAUCCGUAACGCAAGUAAGUGUUUACUGUAAUCGCUUCGAGUGGGAGUUUUCGUAACAAUUUGGCUAGUUAUGAAUUGAAUUCGAGUAUAAAUCUCGUUCAGAUUUGCUUGCUGUUGCGAUUAGUGAUUUAAGAUCGGUUGUACUCCUUCACUGUCGUGUAUCGCGCGCUCCAUAUAAUUCAUUCAUUACAUAUAUCAUAACGUUUAAGUAACAGUCCGUAAAAAAUAUCAGUAAAAACUAGUGUUUCUGACGCAAAUGCUCCCGCUGGUUUACGUAAAGAAUACACAAUGUUUAAGCUACAGUAAUGUUACACAAAAAUAUGCAAACCAUUCAUUCGUCAUCUCCCACUGUGACGCUCCAUCCUUGAUAAUAAUCUGUAUGUAUUUUGUCCGUUUUGGUAUGUUAAUUCCAGCGUUGUUUAUAUUUGUUUGUUUGAGUGUUGUUUUUGUUCUCAUUUCAUUUUUCGAAAAACACACCACGAUUUUACCGGAUCAUUUGCGGAUGUCUGAUAGGAUUGUUCUACUUCUCUUAACUAGUGUGUUCGGUUUUUGAUGCUGCGGUGCUAUUUACUAUUGUUGUUUUUUUUCUGUAUACAGGUGGUUGUUAAUUUGCAUAAGUAAGGUAUGUUUGUUUUUUCUUCUCUGUUUCUGUAAUUUAUCUUUACUUCUGUCAUUUGAAUCAUCUUUUACUUCGGUUUAAUUUCUCUGCAUAUUAUCUAACGUACUUUGCUAUUGCUCAACCGGUGUUUUGUAUAGCAAAUAAUUAUAUUUCCAGUUUUAUCUAUUUGUCCCUUCUUUUACUAUUUCUUCUUUAUCCUGUCUGUUUUGUUUACCACCUUUUCCUUUCAUGUUGUGUUGACGCAUCCAACCUUGUGAUUGUGUGAUCUAUUUUAUUGACAGUGAGAGUAGGAAAAAUAUCUAUUAGCUAUCAAAAGGCCUGCACUAGCCUGUGUGGUCUUUAUUUAGCUUACUGCUCAUACUGAUAUGGUGAACCAGUUUCAGAUGUCUGUUUUUUUUUGUUUGGUUUUCAUAUGUUACAUAAGUAAUAUUGUUCCUUGGUAUUUUACACUAAUGUAACAAAACCCGGUUACUUUCUGUUAGCUAUUCGAGACGCAACACGCCUAUGUACCGGAUGCAUGGGAACUGUUUUUGUAUGCCGCUGAUCUGCCGUGUGUUUACGAGUGGCGUUUAUGGGAGUGUGGGGUGUGACGGGGGGACCUAAUUAAUAUUUUUCACUUCUCGUUUUCUCUCAUUUUUUUGCAACGAAACCUUUUGCAUUAUAUUUAUAUUUCCUGUUGUUUUGUUGUCGGGUUUUCUGUUUGUCGAUAAGAUAGUUUAAAUACUUUACUCUGCAAAUUUGCUUAAACUGUUUUGCUUUACUUCUACUCGCUGCCUGAAUGCUCUUUGACGUACGAAACGAUUGACAUUCGAAGGUUGGAAAUGAGUGAUGCCCAAACCUGAUCCGAUGCGCGCUCGACCGUUUUCAACUGGUAUUUUAUUGGUAGUUUUUAACCUCUUUGAAAUAUCCCAGCGACUCCUUCUUGUAGAUCUUGUAGAUGUAUGAGUAACGUACUUGUUUAAGGGGGGUUUUCUUUGUUGUUGUGGUGGUUGCUUUUAAUGUGUGCCAUUGCCACACCUUAUCUAACCGAACCCCUGUCCCUUCGUUUCCGUAGUGGCCGAACCGACUCCAUUUCCAAUUUUGGUUUGCCACGACUACACUAUAUACUCUGCUUAUGAUUUCUUUUCUGAGUUCCUAAGAUUUUUUGUUUAAUAUGUACAAAAUCACAUUCGCCUCACGGGGGAGACCCAGUUUGCUUUGCCUCUAAGAGAUUCUUUCAAACGUACCGCCAGAACGAUAGAACAAUUCAAUUACUGUCGCCGAACGGGUCAGAUGCCGAUGACUCACUCAUGAUUCACUGGGCUGCUUGUUUGGUUGCCAGAUGGUGUAUUCCUGCUGCCCCUUUGGGGUGGCCUGUAUCUUGUAAGUAUCAAUGUUUCAUCGUACGUUCUUUGGCUGAAAGGAAAUCGCUAGAAUCGUGUGUGAAAACUUGAUAUAAUCGCACGACCCUUUUACGUCUGGCGCUACCCCUUGUGUCAGAUAUACAGAUCCCUUGCACACCAAUGGCAGUACCAGUAGUAGAGUUUUGUGUUCUAAUAUGAUAUUUUGGCAUUUUUUUUGUUCCAUUUCCCGUUUUCGUUCUUGCUCUUUUGCAUCGCGAUUUUGUGUUCCCCUAUCCUUGUCCCCAAUCCAGUCCCAAUUGCGUUGGUUUUGUCACAUUAGUAAUUCGAUUAUUAAUUUGUUCAAUGUUCAUAUCUACAAAUGUGUGAUGAAAAUUGUACGCUCAUCGUGCUUCGGGUGCCUUGCUUCGCAUUCGAAAACGAGGAAUUAAACGAUCGCUCUAGUGUGGAUGUGUGUGUUUGUUUUUUUUUGUUGCCUUUUUGCUUGUUGCAAUUUUUCUUAAUACUUAAAUUCCCCCAAUUGCUCGUUCACCUAAUGGUCAGUUCUCUUCACAAUUCUCUUACUUUAUGAUCCUUGGUUUUAUGUAUGUGUGCUUUUGUUUUGUUACUUAUUUCGUAUGCAUCCCCAGUGGAAAGUAGUUCCGUGUUUGCUGAUGUUUACGUUAAUUCAAUAGGUGAGAAUAUUUCCAAUACCGUUUAACUUCGUUUAAAUUUUAUCAAGAACUUUUUGUUUGUUGUUGUUGCGUUGAAUUAUUGCUUAGUAAGAUGGAUAAAUCUUACGGCAUGAUGAAGUGAAACCGAAUUCAUAAUGAGAGGUGUGAUUCAGGAAUCGCAUACCUAAUAUUGGGUUGUGCAAAGAGUCGAUGAAACAUUUAAAAAUCGUUACCAUUUGAACGUGUGCAUGCAUUUCCGUACACAUUUUACAGUCGAGUGUAAGAGAAAUGAUUAAAAUAAGGCAAAAUGUGAAGAUUUGAAGUAAAUUAAAUCAAUUUUAUAGAAUGAAAAAUUGAGAGGAGUGAUGCAAAUAGAAGAAGGAAGGUGAUAUUAGUAAAAUAAAAUAAAACAAAUAAACAAACAAAUUGAGCAAAGUAAGUAGAAAAAAUAGACAUUUUAUAAUAAAUUUAUAAUUUAAAAAGAAAAAAACUCAAUAAUUGGACCAUACAAGACAAUACAAGACAAACCAGAAUGGUAUUAAAUAACUAAGAAAAUCAACAUCGAAUAUACUACAAAGAAGAAUCUUCCUUUUCUAUUCAUUCUUUUCAUUUUAUCUCUCUGGUAAGCAAUCUUUUCUUUACAUUUAAUUGGAUGAUUUUAAUUAUUUUUUUAAGACUCCAUGUUUUUACCUUUGUCGCUCAUUAUAAGGGGUUCGCUGGUUUGGAUGUCUGUAUUUCUGUACGUGUUUUCAUGUGUGCAUGUGUGUACGUUACUAGUGUGGUAAGACAUUUUAUUUCUUUGCAUUAUCCUCUUGGUAAAUGGGGGUUUUCUUUUCUUCACUAAUUAAAAUAUUCACAUUUAUCAAAUUUAUGUAAACUGCAUAGAAAAUUGGAUUCGAGUGUGAACGUUUUUGUAUGUAUUGUGUAGGUUUGUGUGUGUGUGGUUGCAACUUUGUCAUGUGGUAUAUCUUUAUAAGUAAGAGUUUGGUUUUCUUUUUUUAUUAAGUUAUUUACCCUCACUUAACUCACGUACCGUUCGCUUCCUGUUCUGAUUCCUGCUGGCAAGUCUUAAGAUGUGCGCCGGAGUCGUUGUAAGUUUGGAACUAAUCAGUGGAGAUGUGAUUGUUGACAAGAGUUUUUCAAAACAUGCCUGCUUGCUAGGGAGAGCAAUCAGACAAUGUUCGGGUUGGUUUAUGCUACCGAUGGUAUAAAAUUGUACCAAAGUAUACACGUGGACAGUGGUUUAUUCAAAUCGGAAUCGGUUGAAAACAAAAUCAAAAUGCUAAACUUCUUCUAAAUCCAAAAUGGUCAGUGAGAGAGAGAGAGAAAGAAGGAAAGGAAGUAUGAAAAAGUAAACCGUCCAUUUGUUCGGCCAGUUACCGGCUAUGGUCUGGGACCUAAUAAAACAUCACCCAGCAAGGAAUGAUUAAAAAACUCUACAUAAUCCUACCUCAUCUGCUCCUGUCCUGAUCCAGGGUUGGGAGGGACAUCUAAUUCCCAUUUCCGCACCGUUUUUUUCUCUCUCUCUCCGUCAACCGGAUUCCUCACCCAAAAAAGGUCGGGGAACGUGGUGUAUACUACAUAUAAAUGGCGGUCCAAUUCUGGCGGUGAAACUUACUGGCACCGUGGAAGCCACUCACAAACCGAUUGGGGUGGGGGAAAAAAGCAAUGGUAAACUAUCUGCGCCUUGUUUUCUGUCCUUGUGCUAAAGUUUGACGACCUGUUUGGGGCGGGGUGGGAUAAGGGAUGAAAAUUCCUCAGCCUCAGUCAGUUACUCAAUUACGUACGAUUUACAACGGUGGUCAAAUGAAGCUAGCCUACGGGGAAAGAAGGCGGCGUCUUAACGUAUCGUUUGCUUGGCGCGUUAUCAGCGCGAAGGGGAAGCAGUGUGGGUUCAGUGGUGCAGGGGCUCUGUGCUAGUCUAGUAAGAUGGGUGGGCAUGUUGUGGGUGAACCGACCUACGGAGGAAGCCCUAUCCGGAAGGUGACAGUUACAGCUAUCCAUUGCGCGCACUUCGUUGGGAUAGAAAUCGGUCAUUCGGUAGCGAUCGUACGAAUCGUCACGAUUAAACUUACAUUGUAAUAAUUCCCAAUGAAUGAUAUGGUACAUUGUUUUUGUUUCUUUUAAGGAUCAUGUGCAGAAGGAUUCAUCGCUCCGUUGGGUUGCAGUUGUGGUGGUGCGUGUUUAAUUCUCAGGAAAAGGAACAUUAUCUCUACACCGCCCCCAGUACCUUUCUGUUCACUUCUAAUCCUGUCUUACUAGUUACUUUCGCCAGUUAGUGACUCUCUAAAUGUUUAAACUGAGACGUUUUAUUUGCUGUUGUGUGUGUAUGUAUGGAAUUGAAAUAAUACGAAAAUAAUAAUAAUAAUAAACGGUACAGGGAGGAGAAACGCGGGCAUAUUCGGAUCGAGGGAACGAAUACAAGGGAGAACAGGGAAGGGGUGGGAAAGCAAUUGGAAACAGGGAAACACACACACACACACACGCAUGUACACACAUAUGGUUGAGUAGAGAGAGAGAGAGAGAGAGAGAGAGAGAGAGAGAGAGAGAGAGAGAGAGAGAGAGAGAGAGAGAGAGAGAGAGAGAGAGAGAGAGAGAGAGAGAGAGAGAGAAAGAUGG